rnacentral:lncRNA from 1 species
UUCACCUGAGUUAAAUUAGCACAACUUGGGCUCGGAAGUAGGGGACAAGUGAUAUAGCUUGGAUUCACCAUCUUGAAAUUCUUGACCAACAGCUCAACUCACCCAACCAAGUGGUAAUGUGUGUUCUGAAAAAUUAACAAUCAAUGAAAUCUCUGAUUUAUCAACAAACUAAUAUAGCCCAGCAUGAUCUCAAUCCUCUCACAAU